rnacentral:lncRNA from 1 species
CUCUCCACUGUGUGUUCUCUUAUGAGUAACAAGGGAAGAGUGCGCACUGAAGGCUUUUCCACAUUCCUUGCAUUUAUACGGUUUUUCUCCACUGUGUGUUCUCUUAUGAGUAACAAGAGAAGAAUGGGCGCUGAAGGACUUUCCACAUUCCUUGCAUUCAUAGGGUUUUUCACCAGUAUGAAUUCUCCUGUGCAGAGUGAACUGCAUCACACGACAAAAGGUCUUUUUGCAGUCCUUACAUUGAUAUGGUUUUUCUCCAGUGUGAAUUCUCCAAUGUUCAAUCAGGGAAGACAGGUGCACAAAAGAUUUCUUACACUUACUACACUCAUAGGGUUUUUCUCCAGAAUGAGUUUUCUGAUGUCUAAUGAGCUGGGCACUUUGAGUGAAGGCUCUUCCACACUCCUUACAUUCAUACGGCUUUUCUCCACUAUGAAUUCGCUGGUGAUCUAUAAGAGCUGAGACACGGCUGAAGGCCUUUCCACAUUCACUGCAUUCAUGGAACUUUUCUCUCGUAUGUGUAGUCUGAUGCUGUGUGAGAUGAGUCAUCUGGCUGAAGGUUUUCCUGCAUUCCUUACAUUUGUAAGGUUUCUCACCAGUGUGAAUUCUCUCAUGCUAGGUAAGGUGUGCCCUCUGGUUGAAGGUUUUAAUACAUUCGUUACAUUUAUAGGGUCUCUCUCCCGUGUGGAUUCUUUGAUGCUGAAUGAGAGUUGAUUGACGAGUGAAGUAUUUCCCACAAUCUAAACACUGAUUGCAUUU